rnacentral:tRNA from 1 species
GAGGGUAUAGCUCAGCAGUAGAGUUCCUGCUUAGCAUGCACGAGGUUGUGGGUUCAAUUCUCAGUACCUCCA